GUCUAUAGUUAGACCACCCAGAAUGCACUGGACUCACCUAAUCUCAGAAGCUAAGCAGUGGCCAGGCCUUGUUAGUAUUUUGAUACAAGAGGCAUUGACU
rnacentral:rRNA from 1 species